GCAUUAAUUAAAAAUGCCUCAGAAUCAGCACAUAAAUACUUCUGGAACCAUCAUCUCUAUACCAAAAGGCACUGAUUAAAAGCGCAUACUAUUAAACAACAGUUAUAUUCUAGACUUUUCCUGUUUAAAUAGCGUGUCAGAUAUCCUCAUUAUCUUCUAAGAGGCUUCCCAGGACCCUUGCCAGUCAUGCUGUAGCAAGACAAAAGUACUGGGAGUCUCUGUCUUGAAUGAUUUGAAACCCAUGUUCCAUGGAAAAUCCUCGGAAACCCAAGCUUCUUCCUGAGGGGGCUCUUGAUACAGGAGAGCCACAAGGGCCACCAAGCUUACCAGAGUUUGGAAAUCACAGCGAGAAACUAAAGCAGCUCAUGCUGUUCCAUCUUGCAUUUGUGAAUCAUAAUUGGAGUACCAUGAAAGAUUCACAAAGUGGUCAUUUCUUGGGCCAGUCACCACCAACAGGAGAAAGGAUGCCGUGAGUGACCUGCUGUGGGAUUCCUGUCUACUCCUAAAAGCCCAACAAUCAUACUUUCAUCAGCAGAAUCACUCAGAGUGGAAAUAAAGGCACUAAGGAGCUGUGCAAGCAAACAAAAUAAGUUGAAUUAAAAAG